rnacentral:rRNA from 1 species
UACGGGGGGGGGCAAGCGUUGUUCGGAAUUACUGGGCGUAAAGGGCUCGUAGGCGGCCAACUAAGUCGGAUGUGAAAUCCCCAGGCUUAACCUGGGAACUGCAUCCGAUACUGGAUGGCUUGAAUCCGGGAGAGGGAUGCAGAAUUCCAGGUGUAGCGGUGAAAUGCGUAGAUAUCUGGAGGAAUACCGGUGGCGAAGGCGGCAUCCUGGACCGGCAUUGACGCUGAGACGCGAAAAGCGUGGGGAGCGAACAGG